CCCAGUUAUGCUGUAGUCACUGGGGCACUAGCCUUAGCAUCACACACACAAGUACACAGAGCUCAGUGAGGAGACGCUGUCCAGAAGUGAUGGAAUGGCAUUCUCACGAGGGAAAUUUUGACUCUGGGGAAGAGCCAGGAGUCCCAUGGUGCCAGAUUUGAUGAGUAAGCGAUGACACUGCAAGUGUGUGUGUGAAGCACUUUUUGUAAGGCUCUCCAGUGGCUACAGAAAUCUCUUCUUCAGAGCACGUGCAAGUGUGACUGAAGAAUGCACAGCAAAAGCGGCAGCCUUUUCUUCUGUUCAAAUCAUCUGGCGUGAGGCAUGGUGGGAGCACCUCGGGAUUUUCU